rnacentral:rRNA from 1 species
UGACGCUUCGGUUGAUUGUAAGAACUGUUAGUGGCAAACGGGUGAGUAAUGCAUAAGUAACCUGCCCUUAAGACCGGGAUAACUAUCUGAAAAGAUAGCUAAUACUGGAUACACUUACUUAUCAUAAGAUGAGUAAGAAAAUGUUUUUUCGCUUAAGGAUGGGCUUAUGUCUGAUUAGCUUGUUGGUAGGGUAAUGGCCUACCAAGGCUUCGAUCAGUAGCUGGUCUGAGAGGACGAACAGCCACACUGGGACUGAGAUACGGCCCAGACUCCUACGGGAGGCAGCAGUGAGGAAUAUUGCGCAAUGGGGGAAACCCUGACGCAGCAAUGCCGCGUGAGCGAUGAAGCCUUUUGGGGUGUAAAGCUCUGUCAAGAGGGAAGAUUAUGACGGUACCUCUAGAGGAAGUCACGGCUAAUUACGUGCCAGCAGCCGCGGUAAUACGUAAGUGGCAAGCGUUAUCCGAAUUUACUGGGCAUAAAGCGCGCGCAGGCGGUUAAUUAAGUCAGUUGUGAAAGGCUACAGCUUAACUGUAGUUUGCUUCUGAUACUGAUUGACUAGAGAACAGGAGAGGAAAGUGGAACACACGGUGUAGCGGUGAAAUGCGUAGAUAUCGUGAGGAACACCAGUGGCGAAGGCGACUUUCUGGACU